UGGGUGGUAUUUUGGGGGUGUGACAAAUAUCAUGACUUCCGUUGAUACUAGGGUCAGGUAUGAAGUGAUGGGUAUGUUUACAGUGUAUAGUAUGAUUUUCGUUUAUAGGGACAUAAAUUUUAAUGGCUUCAAUGAUCGAAGGUUAUUGCUUCAUUUGAUGGGUGAAUAGCUGAAGCAUGAUUGAGAAAACAGUUUAAUGUAGAAUGUUGUAUGUUGUAUUUGGUUUACACAUCAGGUAUUAUGCUUCUUGUAUGUUGUUAAUUUAAACAUGUAAUGUGCUAAUGUGUUUUUACAGGAAUGAUCCUGUGGAUGAGGAUGCAGCCAGCGCAGCCGCAACAACUUUAUAUGCCAUACCAACUGUUAUAAUCUCCGAGAUUCUGAAGGAGAUGGACUGGUAACUCAAAAAUGUUGAUGGUAUGGAUGCUUUUGCUGUCAAACAAGCUUGCAAAACAGCAAAGGGACAUGCCUUGAAGAACAGAUCCAUUGUCACUAUGGUCCAGCAUGUAUUGGAUUACUAGAGCUUAUGUGUUACUGGAGAAAUUUGAUUACAUCAAAUUUUCACUAUGAAAAUGGUUAAUAAGUAGCCAAAAGAUAGGCUGUGCAAUCUUGUGCAUGAAGUGCUUUGAUGAUUCUCAUCAUCAUCAUUAUUUAAGAUAAUCAAAAGAAAUAGAGUGUCAAUGAAAUGAAACAUGCUUUUAUGCACUUGGAUGAAAAUGAAAGUAUGAAAAGAUUCAUGCAUGAUAUUCUUACUUUUGCUACUGAAGUCACUUUUUCUUUACCUAUUUUGCAUAUAUUCGAGU
rnacentral:lncRNA from 1 species